rnacentral:rRNA from 1 species
CCUCCGCCGGGCGAGUCCGCGAGAAGUCCACUGAACCUUAUCAUUUAGAGGAAGGAUAAGUCGUAACAAGGUUUCCGUAGGUGAACCUGCGGAAGGAUCAUUAUCGAAACCUGCCUAGCAGAACGACCCGAGAACAUGUUUCAACGCUUGGGGGCGGAGGGUCUUGCGGCUCUGCGCCCCCUCAUCCUAGGAGGCAAGUGUCUUGCGCGUUGCAUUUCGGUGCUUGCGCUUGACCGACCCUCCCGGGCGUACUGAACACCGGCGUGAAUUGCGCCAAGGAACUUGAAUGAAAGAGCGUUUCCCCCGCCGUCCCGGAGACGGUGCUCGUGCGGGUGGUUUCGCGUCUUCAAUAUGUCUAAACGACUCUCGGCAACGGAUAUCUCGGCUCUCGCAUCGAUGAAGAACGUAGCGAAAUGCGAUACUUGGUGUGAAUUGCAGAAUCCCGUGAACCAUCGAGUCUUUGAACGCAAGUUGCGCCCGAAGCCAUUAGGCCGAGGGCACGUCUGCCUGGGCGUCACACGUCGUUGCCCCCCCCAACCCCCUCGGGAGUUGGAUGGGACGGAUGAUGGCCUCCCGUGUGCUCAGUCACGCGGUUGGCAUAAAUACCAAGUCCUCGGCGACCAACGCCACGACAAUCGGUGGUUGUCAAACCUCGGUUUCCUGUCGUGCGCGCGUGUUGAUCGAGUGCUUUUUAAACAAUGCGUGUCGAUCCGUCGAUGCUUUCAACGCGAACCCCUGUCAGGCGGGGUUACCCGCUGAGUUUAAGCAUAUCAAUACCGCAGGAAAA